GCUACUGCCGAUUGAAUGGUUUAGUGAGGACUCCCGAUUGGCGCCGCCGCCCCGGCAACGGAGCAGCGGACUGCCGAAAAGUUGUUCAAACUUGAUCAUUUAGAGGAAGUAAAAGUCGUAACAAGGUUUCCGUAGGUGAACCUGCAGAAGGAUCAAGAUAGGAAGAGAACACGACGGAACACCAGGAAAGGGGCCUUAUCUCGUAGGCAGUAGUCGGCUUGAAAAAAAAAACACAUACGAACUCGAAACUCCUUUUUACAAUAGUCAUCUCAUAGUC
rnacentral:misc_RNA from 1 species